rnacentral:rRNA from 1 species
AUUGAACGCUGGCGGCAGGCUUAACACAUGCAAGUCGAACGAGUGGCGGACGGGUGAGUAAUGCUUGGGCAUCUGUCUUAUGGAGGGGGAUAACGACGGGAAACUGUCGCUAAUACCGCGUACCAUCAGAUGAGCCCAAGUGGGAUUAGGUAGUUGGUGGGGUAAUGGCCUACCAAGCCGACGAUCCCUAGCUGGUCUGAGAGGAUGACCAGCCACCCUGUGACUGAGACACGGUCCUGACUCCUACGGGAGGCAGCAGUGGGGAAUAUUGCGCAAUGGGGGCAACCUGACGCAGCCAUGCCGCGUGAAUGAAGAAGGCCUUCGGGUUGUAAAGUUCUUUCGGUGACGAGGCGUUAAUCACAGAAGAAGCACCGGCUAACUCCGUGCCAGCAGCCGCGGUAAUUC